rnacentral:lncRNA from 1 species
UUUUCUGAAUAUUUUAACUACUGAUAUCAGCCUUGUUCUAAUUUCUUGGUUUUAUUUACGUAUACCAUGAGUAUUUAAUCUCUGUUACUCAUUUCUUGCUUCUACGUUUUUACUGAGGGUUGGUCAUUUUUUCCUGCAUAGUCAAUUGGGGUUCUUUUCCUAAUUGUUUUGAUUCAUUGGUUCUGACAUAUAAAAACAUGCAUGAAUAUUCAUAUGAUCCUGAAGUUCUGAUAAUUGUUUCCAUCCUUUGUCACUGAAUAGUCCACAUUAAGAUGCUUGAUUGAAACUUAAGUUGCAUUGAUUAAUUCUCAAAUUCUUUGAUUGUUUUUACAUAAUCAAGUCUGUAGUUCAUACCUUGACUUUGACCCAUAACAUGAAUGCAACUAACUAGGGUACGAUUUGAC